rnacentral:ncRNA from 1 species
UACCUUUGCACACGAAUAAGAAAAACUUAUUCAUACAUAAUAAUCAUUUAAAUAAUAUUAGCAUG